rnacentral:rRNA from 1 species
CGAAGCACCUUAUUUGAUUUUCUUCGGAACUGAAGAUUUGGUCACUGAGUGGCGGACGGGUGAGUAACGCGUGGGUAACCUGCCCUGUACAGGGGGAUAACAAUCAGAAAUGACUGCUAAUACCGCAUAAGACCACAGCACCGCAUGGUGCAGGGGUAAAAACUCCGGUGGUACAGGAUGGACCCGCGUCUGAUUAGCUGGUUGGUGAGGUAACGGCCCACCAAGGCGACGAUCAGCAGCCGGCCUGAGAGGGUGAACGGCCACAUUGGGACUGAGACACGGCCCAAACUCCUACGGGAGGCAGCAGUGGGGAAUAUUGCACAAUGGGGGAAACCCUGAUGCAGCAACGCCGCGUGAGUGAAGAAGUAUUUCGGUAUGUAAAGCUCUAUCAGCAGGAAAGAAAAUGACGGUACCUGACCAAGAAGCCCCGGCUAACUACGUGCCAGCAGCCGCGGUAAUACGUAGGGGGCAAGCGUUAUCCGGAUUUACUGGGUGUAAAGGGAGCGCAGGCGGUGCGGCAAGUCUGAUGUGAAAGCCCGGGGCUCAACCCCGGUACUGCAUUGGAAACUGUCGUACUAGAGUGUCGGAGGGGUAAGCGGAAUUCCUAGUGUAGCGGUGAAAUGCGUAGAUAUUAGGAGGAACACCAGUGGCGAAGGCGGCUUACUGGACGAUAACUGACGC